rnacentral:sRNA from 1 species
UGCAUCUGAAGCCUGACGAGGAUGAGAACCUCCGGGGGCAAGAGGUUCGACUCGAGCGCAGCGAGAGAACGUUGCGUCAGCAACGGCCCGCAGGGCGAGCCACGCAGUGGCGAGUCAUCCUCUAUCACCGGCA